rnacentral:lncRNA from 1 species
GUCAGUUGCAAGGGUGUGAGGCAGAAGCAACACAAAAGAUCUUGAUAUGAAGCAAUUAUUUUUGGUCUUAAACUGCUGGGACUCCAGAUGACCCAGACCACGGUCAGCAGGCAGAAGCCAGGUAUUUUAUUCUUUUAGAUGCUAUUGUCAACAGAAUUGCCUUCAAGAUUCCUUUUCUGAUUGUUCAUUGCUGAGACAUGGUCUUGCUCUGUCACCUAGGCCGUAAUACAGUGGCGUGAUCCUAGCUCACAGCAGCCUCCAACUCCUGGGCUCAAGAGAUCCUCCUGCCUCAGCCUUCUGACUAGCUGGGACUACAGGAAUGUGCUACCACACCCAGCUAAUUUUUUAAUUUUUUGCAGAGAUGACAUCUCACUAUAUUGCCCAGGCUGGUCUUGAACUUCUAGCCUCAAGCAAUCCUCCCACCUCAGCCUCUGAACGUACUGGAAUUACAGAUGGAGCAACUGAGAUUCUUCCCCAACUAGACUAUAAGUUCUCUGAGGGAUAAGGAACAUGUCUGGUUUCCUCAUCUCUCUGUCACAGCACCCUGUGAAUGCCUAGAAGACAGUAAGAAUCAACUGAAUGUUUGUAGAAAGAAUAACGAUACUUACCUAUAGUCUAAAGGUUUAGUGAUGAAAUGAAGUCCACUAACUUCUCUCUGCUUACUUCCACCCUCAAUAACAUAUUUCCUCAAACCCCACAGAGGAAAGACAAUUCAUUUUUUACUAUUGUUUAAUAGAGCCAUGUUUGUAUGUAGCUUCCUGUUCCGCUUAGCCCAAGACAUUAAGUGGGUCAGGAGUAAACUCUGCCCUCUGUUUUUUUCCAUUCCUUUGUCACCUGCUCAAGUGGCAGCCCAGAGCCGCUUGGCGGCUUCCCUGAAGAUGAGCAGAGUGCAGUAGAUUAGGCAUGGCCUUUCUAUCUAUUUCUACUAUGGAGAAGCUGAAAAAGCUAUAUGGCUGGAAAAAAAUCACCUUGGUACUAAUUUGCUAUUUUACAAUAUUUGAAAAUAAAGACCUGUGGUCUUCCUAUGUAUUUCUUUUUAAACAAUGAGGGGUAUGGAACAUCUAUGAAUAAACAUCAAGGUCUUCAAGUGAAUUUUCAGGUUGUGAAGUAUGUGAUUUGUUACUACUAGGGAGAGAUGUUUCCUAACCAUAAAAAUGAAUGUGACUUUUUUUUUUUAAAGGAUGCAACUAAAUUAUAAAAGACAAUCAUUUCACUGGUGGGAAUAGAAUUCACUUAUUCUGAGUCAUGCCUAUUGCAUUACAUUUUGUUUAGCAUAAUUAAUGGUGAAUCUGAGUUGUCCCACAGAAGUAAACCCUAAUUCUCCUCUCCCUACUUCUACCUCUCUCAUUUUAAAGUCUUCAAUUAGUUUUUCCCAAAUGUUUCCAGUCUUAAGAUUUACGGAAUUUGAAGCCUUUCCCAAAGAUCCAAUCUUCCAGAUAAAAGGAAAAUAUAAUAUAGCAUUCCAAUAAAAAUAAGAUAUUCUGGGGUUUCCAUUUUUAAUUAUACCAAUUUUUAAUGUUCAUUAAAUAUAUUUCCCUCUGCCAA